UAACUGGUCUGAGAGGAUGAUCAGUCACACUGGAACUGAGACACGGUCCAGACUCCUACGGGAGGCAGCAGUAGGGAAUAUUGCUCAAUGGGGGAAACCCUGAAGCAGCAACGCCGCGUGGAGGAUGACACUUUUCGGAGCGUAAACUCCUUUUGUUAGGGAAGAAUAAUGACGGUACCUAACGAAUAAGCACCGGCUAACUCCGUGCCAGCAGCCGCGGUAAUACGGAGGGUGCAAGCGUUACUCGGAAUCACUGGGCGUAAAGGACGCGUAGGCGGAUUAUCAAGUCUCUUGUGAAAUCCUAUGGCUUAACCAUAGAACUGCUUGGGAAACUGAUAAUCUAGAGUGAGGGAGAGGCAGAUGGAAUUGGUGGUGUAGGGGUAAAAUCCGUAGAGAUCACCAGGAAUACCCAUUGCGAAGGCGAUCUGCUGGAACUCAACUGACGCUAAUGCGUGAAAGCGUGGGGAGCAAACAGGAUUAGAUACCCUGGUAGUCCACGCCCUAAACGAUGUAUACUAGUUGUUGCUAAGCUAGUCUUGGCAGUAAUGCACCUAACGGAUUAAGUAUACCGCCUGGGGAGUACGGUCGCAAGAUUAAAACUCAAAGGAAUAGACGGGGACCCGCACAAGCGGUGGAGCAUGUGGUUUAAUUCGAAGAUACGCGAAGAACCUUACCCGGACUUGAUAUCUAACAAAUCAUCUAGAGAUAGAAGAGUGUCUGCUUGCAGAAAUGUUAAGACAGGUGCUGCACGGCUGUCGUCAGCUCGUGUCGUGAGAUGUUGGGUUAAGUCCCGCAACGAGCGCAACCCACGUCAUUAGUUGCUAACAGUUCGGCUGAGCACUCUAAUGAGACUGCCUUCGUAAGGAGGAGGAAGGUGUGGACGACGUCAAGUCAUCAUGGCCCUUAUGUCCGGGGCGACACACGUGCUACAAUGGCAUAUACAAUGAGAAGCAAUAUCGCGAGAUGGAGCAAAUCUAUAAAAUAUGUCCCAGUUCGGAUUGGAGUCUGCAACUCGACUCCAUGAAGCCGGAAUCGCUAGUAAUCGUAGAUCAGCCAUGCUACGGUGAAUACGUUCCCGGGUCUUGUACUCACCGCCCGUCACACCAUGGGAGUUGAUUUCACUCGAAGCCGGAAUACUAAAUUAGUUACCGUCCACAGUGGAAUCAGCGACUGGGGUGAAGUCGUAACAAGGUAACCGUAGGAGAACCUGCGGUUG
rnacentral:rRNA from 1 species